AUUUUUUUUUUUUUUUUUUAUUAUCUCCUAAGCUUUCGACUUAAGUUCAAGUGUCUCAUUGAUUCUGUCAUUUUGUUCAGCUCUCAUUUCUAUUAGUCGGAGACAGUUGACUUCUAAGAUCUCCUAUUUGAAACAGUAUUUCAAAGCUCAUGAUUUUUCUCAUCUAAUGUUUUCUAGUUUUUUUUUACCACUCUUUAUUUAUGUUGACUAUUUGCAUGAACUUGUUACUAUUUGAUUUCAAGUACAAUUUUGUUCAAUUGUAUGACAUGAACCAAACAAUUUUCAAGCAGGCACUACAGAAAUCUUAACUGGAUCAGUUGGCAGCCACCAACUGGAUAUCCAGUAGUACCAGUUUAUUAUUAGUGCUGCAUUGUGAUUUGUUGAACUGAACAUAAUUAUUUUUUUCGGUCUCCCCUUGUUAAAAUCUGACUUUUUAGUUUGCAUUAUUUUAUUAGUGAAGUUGAAUUUAGUGAAUCCUUAUGUUCAUUUUCCAAUUCAACUGCGACAUUUGCAACUAUUUGGUGAUGGGUUCUUUGUUCAACAAGUUCACUACAUGGCUACAUGUUACUGACACUUUUCAUGCUGUUUAAUUUACAAUUUUUAAAAAAAUGAAAAAAGAUAUUUUUUUUGUGUUGAGUCUAACUUUGAGUCAGUUAAGUCACUCUGUUGAGUCAAUAAGUCGCUCGAGUUACUCUUUUGGGUCUAACUUUGCGUCAGUUAAGUCACUCGAGUUGCUCUUUUGAGUCUAACUUUGUUUGUUGUUUAUUAUUUCAUCCAGUCUCUUUUGAUCCAAAGCUUUCAGUAACUUAAGUUUGAAGUUUCAACUUGGUGGUUGGUGGAGAGGACUCUUCACUUGGAGAGCAUUCAUUUGUAAUUAGUGCAUCUUUACUUGACUACUUAGUAGACUGAUACAGGUAGGAAUAUAGAAGCUAUAUUCUUGGUUAAGUAGAAACAGAUGUGCCAUUGAUACAAUGUUUGUCCAGCUACCUAUUAAAACAAUUAUCUUGUUCAAAAA